rnacentral:rRNA from 1 species
UACGAAGGGGGCUAGCGUUGUUCGGAAUCACUGGGCGUAAAGGGCGCGUAGGCGGCUUUAUAAGUCCGCUGUGAAAGUCGGGGGCUCAACCCUCGGAUGCCGGUGGAUACUGUCUGACUAGAGUACGGAAGAGGCGAGUGGAAUUCCUGGUGUAGCGGUGAAAUGCGCAGAUAUCAGGAGGAACACCGAUUGCGAAGGCAGCUCGCUGGGACGUUACUGACGCUGAGACGCGAAAGCGUGGGGAGCAAACAGG